AACAGGCGAGUCGACUCCAGAUCGCGCGAGUCGACUCCGAUCCCAACGGAAACUUUGUCAGGAGUUGCAGACUGUGCACAACGGCUCUAUUUUUGUCUCUAACGGCUAGAUUUCUAUUUCCACGACAUCUAAAGCUAUAAAAUCAAGAGGAGAGCUAGGAUAGAGAGAAUGGAAGUGGGAGAAAACAUUUAGGAAAGAGAUCUCAAAGAAAAAUCUCCCAAAAGCACAAAAGGGCCAUUCAAAGCAAAUAGAGAGAAGAAGAGCAUCCGAGUGAAUUCCAAAGCUUUCUCUUCAACUGUGUGCUGCCUCGGUGAUCCUCUACUUCGUGCAAAAUCAGAAGAGGGUCAAGUGAAGAAGAAGCCGAGUUCCUCCAUCUAUAAAUUAGUUUGAGGGCUUCUUCUCUUUACUUUACUUAUUUAUAUUUGCUAUAUCUGCUUAAGUGAGAAGCUUGUAUUUGCUUUUAAACCUUUGUUUUAAUAUCUUGUAACAUGAUUCAAUCAAGGGAUUGAAUCAAGGGGUUAAGGUUUGUUGGUGAGCCAAAGGAAAAACCAACGGUGUAAGGUUGUGGUUGGUGAGCCUUUGGAAAAACCAACUGGGUUGAUUGUGAACCCGGAAAACAAUCGUUGUAAGGUUGUGGUUGGUGAGCCUGUGGG
rnacentral:lncRNA from 1 species